GGAAGUAAAAUCGUAACAAGGUUUCCGUAGGUGAACCUGAGGAAGGAUCAUUAUUGUAUAACCGAGGUGCGAGGGCUGUCGCUGACCCGAAAGGUCGUGCACGCCCGAGUGCCCUCACACACAUCCAUCUCACCCCUAUGUGCACCACCGCGUGGGUCCCCCUUUGGCUUGUUCGGAGGGGGGCUUACGUUUUCACACAAACUUUGUAUGCAGUGUAGAAUGUAUUUUUUGUUUUUGCGAUCACGCAAUCAAUACAACUUUCAACAACGGAUCUCUUGGCUCUC
rnacentral:misc_RNA from 1 species